GGUGGAACCGGGACUCUGCAGGGAACCGGCCGGAGGAAGAGGAGGGGGAGGGGAGUGGAGGGGGACCAGAGACAGAGGACAAAGAGAUUUUAAAUAGAUGCUCUCAGAGCAUGCCGUCUUUUCAAAGGGAACACUGAUGGCGUCUUCAGUAGGUCCCGGUAAUUCCCAAAGUGACCUCCUUCCUGCUCCCUCUCGAAUCCAGCUCCCAGAUAUCGGAUCCAAUGAAAGAGAGGAGACAGAGGGAGAAAGGGAAGGAGGGAGAGAGGGGUCAGAGACAGUCACAGUCCAACGCAGCAGCAGCAGGAGCAGCUCCCUCUCCUCUCCGGCAGUCUAAGCAGCUUUCCCGGCCAUGCUGGUGAGAAACAUCUGUAUCCCGUUUGCCCGUAGUCCUCAGACAUCCUCCAAAACUGAAGCACGGCGCUGCACAGCUCCACUGGAAUGCAUUCAGGCAUGCUCACGUCGCUGUCACACAUGCACACGCACACACACACACACACAAACACAAACACGCACAUACAGCCGGGGCAGCAGCGGUGGCAUUCUGCAGUGCAGCUGCUAUUCCUGUCUGUUUGCAAGCGAGAGCUCAAAAUCGACCUUGGAAGACGUGAGCAGAGGGGGCAGUGUAUGCAGGCGAGCUGGAGGACUGAGCUCCAAAAGCCACUUAAGAGUGCAGCCGACUUCUUGCUGUCCCACUUGUGUUUGACCAUCCAACCGCAGGCGGCGGUUUAAGGGAGGAGGCUGGGAGCUGUCCACGGUGCUGAACCCGGGUACCGAGGAGGAGGAGGAAAAAGAGGGCAGAUCUUCCCUCCAAGGCCACCUUUGGUCUCUGUCAUGAACCGUCGAACGGGGGGGGUUACAGAAGCAGGGGGGCGUUCAACCAAACACACAAUGUCGAUCCGGCGCUGAAACUCGCAGCACGUAUGUCAUCAUGAACCGAGUGGAUUACUGCACAGAGCGGUUAUAUAACCCAUCAAAGCAACACACAUGUAACAUUACAUGAUGGAUUGCUCGGCUUUUCUGUUUUUUAAUUAUUAUUUUUUUAUUUAAGAUGAUCUAAAAUGUACAUUUACCACAAUUAACUCUUGUACUGAUUAAUAAUCGGAUCUAGGCCUAUCUAAUGACAUUCAUGUUUAUUAAAAGCAGAAUUUUGAACACAGCAGGGGAUCUCUCGUUCAUUGUGUAGCUUGAUAUUCAAGAAGGAGCACUAUUGCCCCCUGUGGACAUUUAAUUAUAAAACAGUAUGGCUUCCAAUGCUUGAAGUAAAUCUAUGCAGAACUGGUGAAAACAGCAGAGAAGGUGAAGAAAACCACAACCAAGGACCUGAUGCAGCAGAGCGACUUUGCUUACCUCAAGCCCCAAAGGGAAUAUUGUUUAUCCACCUUUAAAACAAAGUGUAAAGAAGUUUUACAUUGUGUCAGUUGUGGACAUGAAGUCAUUUCUACAUGGUAAGAUGGCAGGGACUGGCUGCCAAACUGAUACCAGAGUAAAUAAGCACCUAUAAAAAGCACACAAAUCUGAAGCUAAUCUUUUUUAUUUCUUCUGAAAAUGAUACGUUGUGCUGAUAGUGUGCUGCAUCACCAGCCUGGUGAUGUAAUGUUGAAAAAAGCAAAGCAGAGGAAGCAGGAAAUCUGCAAAAUUUGCACAACAUUCUGUUAGUGUGAGCAGUCCUUUAUUGGAAUUAGAAAAUGCAGAUUAGAGCUGCUAUUGAUUAAAGUUUGGCUGUUUUAACACCCUUUAUUGUUAUACUGACAGAUGAGACAUGUCUGAAGGGAAAGAUCUGUUAGUCAACCAUGUCCAGGCUUGACAGAGGUUAAGAA